rnacentral:lncRNA from 1 species
GUUUUUGUUAGUCAUCCCUGCUGUCGCUGGCCUGUGACCUUGGAAGGACUAUUUGAGCAGCUUGAAUGGAGUGAUCAGCAGAAGGCAAAGAAGCCAACAUAACACAGAGACUGAGACUCUGAGGAAUGUGAUAUGGAGAUGGAAAAAUGGGGUAGGUCACUUAAAGUCAAGAAGUAAAAACUUGUCUCCUUCUCUGACAUAUUAGAAAAGCUUGAAGUGCUAAUGUUUGCCUAAUAGUUUCUUGUUUUAUAAAAUAGGUAAGCCUUGGGCUGCAUGGUAGCAAUUUCUCUAGCAGAUCCUAGCAGAAGAAUCCAUCUCACCCUUCUGAGAUCUAUGAAUCCAACUCCCAUCAGGCUAUCUCUGAGGACCUCCAUUUGAGAUUAUUGCACUAGAAUCAAAUGUGUGCAACAAGUUAGCUGGUUAGAAAGCCUGGUUAUGGUUUUAAUGACUGCUAUGCGGAGGUGCUGCCUUGUUAGUCUUUAUAGCAACACCAUGAGGUGAGCUGAUUUAAUACUACAUAUUAUAGAUGAGAACAAAAUGUACCUAACAAAGUUAAAUAACAUAUCUAAAUUCAAAUAAUUAAUAAAAGGCAAGGCUUGCAACUGAGACUUGUCUCUCCCUAAAGUGUGUCACUUGCAUAGACAUUCCUGAAUCUUCAAUAAAAGGGUUUAGGAAAAGCAUGUUUGCAUUGAGAAUUAGCUCAUCGGGGAUCCAGACUCAGAAAUGAUUUUUAAAAGUUUAUCAAGUUAAUGAAUUAAAAACUCUAUUCUGUUUUAAAAAAGAGAACGAAUUCAUAAAGGUAAAGAAAAUAUAUAUAACAUUAAAAUAUAGACAUAAGCUUAUCCACUUGAGAAAGAACUGCAUUAAUUUGUGAUUUAUCUGAAGAAAGGCUUAUGCAGUUGAAGUUUGGGGGCACAGCCUUAAGCUGCUCACUCCAGCAGUGCUUAUUUAGCAUAUCCAUUGAGUUCUCUCUUAUUUUUCCUAUGAAAAGCUCAAGGUGAAGUUCAAAGAUACUUUUCUCUUUUUUUAAACAAAAAAGAUGCCUCAAACAUUAUAAUGAAGUGGAAAAACCAAGAGAAUAGCAAACUAUGAAAUGUAGAAAAUGUCAAAGGGGUAAGAAGAGGUACUUCUGAUUGAGGGUGUUAAAUUUCAGUGAGAGUAUGUAUAAUCCAAUUUAUCUCUUUCAUAUAUACUCUAACAUCAUGCCUGUGCAUUAAUUGGGAAUUUUAAUUUCAAUUUGUGCUGUGCCCCUAUGCUAUCUUUGCUAAUAUUCCUUCCUUUUGCUUUUCCAUUUUCUCUUUCCCACCUUCUCUCUUUCUCCAGGGCCAACUAAAGUUACCUGUUGGAAGAGUAUGAGAUUGCCUUAAUGAUAUAUUUGAUUUUAAUAACUCCAAGGUGGCUGACCUCUUAACUUGGUGCCUGGGUCUAUAAAUUAAGGGUCAUAACUUCCAAGCCUUAUAAUUUCUUUCCUAGUGCUAUAGGCAAAGAAACACUCAUAUGCUGAGCAUCAUCUCAAAUUCUUGGACUGCUUAUCUAUGCUAGGAAGAAGUAGUCAAUUAUAACUAGGGAUGGUGCUCAUUUGCAAAGUCAGAACCCAAUUAUUUUCCUGAGAAGCUGGACAUUGAAGUGUUUGGGAUGAACUGAUUCCAUCUUGUUACCUCUAAGGAUCUUGCUGAUAUUUAUCAACUGCAUUUCACAGAUUUAUAUAAUGCUCAGCUUCUGUAUGAAGUACAGAAUGAUACAAAGCUUAAAAUCUCCUACUAUAAGGAGAAUAAGAGUGACAGCAAGAAAUUGAGAGAGGAGGAAUGAAAGGAAAGAAGGAAGGAAGGAAGGAAGGAAAGAAGGAAGGAAGGAAGGAAGGAAGGAAGGAAGGAAAAGAUACAGCGUAGGGCUGGUAGUGUGUAUUAGCAGAGGAGUGGAUAGCUAAACCAAAAUAAUCUGGUUUUAUUUUUUCAGGAGGCUUUUGAAUUCAUGUCUCAAAAUUUGUUUUCUCUGUUUUAUAAAAAUAUUCUGAAAUACCUCACUUAUGUAUCAUUAAUAAAAGUCUGACCCCAAUUGCUUAUAAAUUUGUAGGAAGUUUCUGCCUUGCUUUAUUUCUUGUCUAUUUUUGCUUUAAAGGGAGAUCCAAAGAACUCAGUGAAUGCCCCCUUUUUUUCUUUUCUGUGUUUUAAAAUUCAGCUUAUAUUAUUGACACAGUAAUGGUUUGCAAGCUGUUAGCAUUUGAAAAAAAUGUCAAAAUGCAAUCUUAAAUAAUAGCCAUAAAUGAUAGAAAAUCUCUUUCUAGUAACAUUUGUAACUACCCUAGGUGACACAAACUGUAGUGUUUUGCAUUUAUAUAUUUUGUUGUCCUGAUACCAUUUUCAUACUGUUCUACUGAAAUAUAAGCCAAAAAGUUAUUUUUGAAACAAGGUACAAGCUAUGAUGGAAAGAAAGGAGAGGAGAAGGACACAAGGAGAGAGAGAUGGAGAUAGAGGAAGAGAAAAGAAAGAGAAAGAAGGAAAGCACAAAAAGCAAGAACUCAAUUUGUAUCUAUGGUGUGUGUUUGCUAACCCAACCACCUUCUUAGAAAAUACACACCUUCCAUUUUUUUGCAAAGGCUGAAGUCUACAGAUAACUUUUCUGGGUCUCAACUGUGUAAUUAAAAAAAAGUAUAGGUCA